UUCUGGGCUUUAUAAUUAUAAUAUAAUAUGUUUUCCUUCAGAAAAAUUAAGUUUAGUUGUAGAGUAAUUCUGUAACGAGAGCAGUCGGCUUUACCUGUAACGAAGCAGCAACACAAGUGAUGAAGAAACCGGCAAUUCUUUACCAUUACCCAUGCCCUGAUGGAGCUUUUGCCGCUUUGGCUGCUCAUCUUUAUUUUUCUUCUCUACCUAUAACUCCUCUUUACUUCCCCAACACUGUUUACUCUCCCAUCAGGGUGGAGGACCUUCCUCUAAAUCAAAUUGAUCAUGUUUACCUCUUGGAUUUUGUGGGUCCUUCUGGUUUUGUUCAGCAACUCAAGUCAAAAGUUGAACGUGUUGUUGUAUUGGACCAUCACAAGACUGCAAAAGAGCUGUUAGGUGGAGGGACAUCUGAGACUGAAAAUGUGAGCAAAGUGAUCGACAUGGAUAGAAGUGGGGCUACUAUUUCUUAUGAUUAUUUCAAAGAGAAGCUCAUAACCGGAAACAAUAAUGAAGCUGCUGACGGCAAUGCAGUAAAGAUUGGUGAAUUUGACAGAGUCAGGAGAUUAUUCGAAUAUAUAGAGGACAGAGAUUUGUGGAGAUGGAAACUCCCAGACAGUAAAGCAUUCAGCAGUGGGUUGGAUGAUCGCCAUAUUGAAUAUGAUGUCAAUUUGAAUCCCUCCUUGUUUCAACAGUUGCUUGCUUUGGAUCUAAAAUCUGUUGUAGAGCAAGGAAAGAUAAGCUUGUCGUACAAACAGAAACGUAUAGAUGAGGUCAUCGAGCAAUCAUUUGAGAUAGCACUUGGAGCUGGAGCGUUUGGUUGUUGCCUGGCAGUUAAUGCAGAUUCUUUGCCUGAGCUAAGAAGUGAGCUUGGGAACCAGUUGGCAGUCAAAAGUCGUAAUAUGAAGUUGAGGUUGUUUGAAGUUGGAUUAGGAGUUUCUGCCAGAAAACUACUAAGGAUUUAUCUUGAAAACGGGGUAUUGGAGCUAUUGUUUAUAAGGUACCUGAGCUUGAAAACAAUGAGAUGUUAAAGGUUAGCCUGAGGAGCAUUGGUGAUGAAGAUACGACAUCUAUCUCCCAGGCAUUUGGUGGCGGUGGGCAUCGAAAUGCCAGUUCAUGUAUGUUAAAAUGUGCUGAGUUUGAGAAUUGGAAGGUUUCAAAUAGGACCUCGACAUAGGUGAAGUACUAUUGCCCUGAAGAUCUAACUGAAGUUUGGCCCUUUCUCUUAGGCCGUCAACUAGGUCUCAGGUAAAGCCCACAGUCAAAAUUGAAUGCUGGAGCUUCUGUGGUACCUUCCUUUUGCGCACAUGAUCCUACUAACUAUUUGCUUUACAUCUUUUGUAUGAUGAUGGAAGUAGGAUAAUCCUCGACCCCUAAUAUAGAGGGGUUGUUUGGUUCCUGGCUAAAGUAUCUCAGCAUUAUAAUUGUUGGACUAAUUUAUCCCACUUGGAAGGUGGGAUAUCUUGGGAUUAAAUUUUUACUUUGUUUGGUUAAAGAUUGAAAUUUAUCAUCAAAGUAUAAAUUUAAUUCCAAACUUAAUCCUGAGAUACCCCACCUUAGGAUAUGUAUAAUUGCAGUUUUUGCUCAUGCUAGACUUCAGACCCUCUUAUAGUGUCAACUUUACAGUCAAAGGUGGUCUAUGUAGUUUUUCUUUUUAAUGUAAGAAACGACCUUCCUGGUCAAAAAGAAUGCCGAAAACUAAUUUAUGGCUAAUGAAAAAAAGAAUUAGUUCUAUACUGA